rnacentral:tRNA from 2 species
GGACCUUUAGCUCAGUUGGUUAGAGCACCGAGCUCAUAACUCGGCGGUCCUGGGUUCGAGUCCCAGAAGGUCCA